rnacentral:lncRNA from 1 species
GUUGGAGAAGAGAGUAAAAAGAGGCCGCUUACCGGAUUUGAAAUUGGUGAAAUGUUUCUUGGGCUGGUGGGUCUGAGGACCUGAGGUCACAGGUGGAUCUUUUCUCACGGAGCAAAGAGCAGGAAGACAGGGGAUUGAUCUCCCAAGGGAGGUCCCCUGAUCCGAGUCAUGGUACCAAAUUUUAUGCGCGUCCAUGUGAAGAGACCACCAAACAGGCUUUGUGUGAGCAAUAAAGAUGUUUAUUUCACCUGGGUGCAGGAGGGCUGAGUCGGAAAAGAGAGUCAGUGAAGGGAGAUAAGGGUGGGGCCGUUUUAUAGGAUUUGGGUAGGUAAAGGAAAAAGGGGGGUUGUUCUCUGGCGGGCAGGAGUGGGGGGUCACAAGGUGCUCAGUAGGGGAGCUUUUGAGCCAGGAUGAGCCAGGAGAAGGAAUUUCACAAGAUAGUGUCAUCAGUUAAGGCAGGAACAAGCUAUUUUCAAUUCUUUUGUGGUGGAAUGUCAUCAGUUAAGGUGGGGCAGGGCAUAUUCACUUGUUGUGUGAUUCUUCAGUUACUUCAGGCCACCUGGGCGUAUACGUGCAAGUCACAGGGGAUGUGAUGGCUUGACUUGGGCUCAGAGGCCUGACAAGACUGAACUAGGGUUGGGAUUGUGUGACAAGCUGGUCUCUAUCAACCGUGUCUGUGUCCACGGCAUUGUUGUGUUGCGAUCGCGCUCCUCCUAGGUCAGAACUUACAGUGGGAGUUUGGGAGGCCGAAGUGGGUGGAUCACCUGAAAUCAGGAGUUCAAGACCAGCCUGGCCAACAUGGUGAAAUCCUGGCUCUUUACAAAUACAAAAAUUAUGGUGGGCACGGUGGCUCUCGCCUGUAAUCUCUGCACUUUGGGAGGCCAAGGCAGGCGGAUCACUGAGGUCAGGGGUUCGAGACCAGCCUGGCCAACAAGAUGAAACCCCAUCUCUACUAAAAAUACAAAACAAUUAGCUGGGUGUGGUGGCGGGUGCCUGUAAUCCCUGGCUACUCAGGAGGCUGAGGCAGGAGAAUUGCUUGAACCUGGGAGGCGGAGGUUGCAGUGAGCUGAGAUUACGCCACUGCACUCCAGCCUGGGUGGACAGAGCAAGAAUCGGAAAGCCUGACUCCAAUGGGGAUAAUUGGAUCUCAGGGUGGCAGGGACCAAGUGACAGAACUUAAUGACCAAAGGCAAGGUGGGUGGUUACCGCUUGGACAGCAGAGUCAGAGCAGCCACCAGAGUGCUAUGACUUGGCCGGGCGGUGGUUCAUGCCAGUAAUCCCAACACAUUGGGAGGCCCAGGUGGGAGAAUCUCUUAAGGCCAGGAGUUCGAGACUAGCCUGGGCAACAUAGUGAGACCUGUCUCUACAAAAAGUUUAAACAAUUAGCCAGAUGUGGUGGUGCAGGCCUGUGGUCCCAGCUACUCGGGAGGCUGAGGCAGGAGGAUCACUUGAGCCCAGGAGGUCGAGGCUGCAGUGAGCUGUGAUUGUGCCACUGCACUCCAGCCUGGGCAACAGAAUGAGACUCUAUCUCUAAAGAUAAUACAUUUUUAAAAAGAAUUCCAGGAAUCCACCCCUAACACCAGCCCCUCCCCUCCCUCUGCAGAACAAAGGCCCCAUCAGAGGGGACAUGCUGGGCGUCAGGGUCGGCUUCCGGGAGGAGGAAGGUGGGAGCUAAGACCUGAAGGAUGAUGAGGCGUGAUGUGGGUGGAGGGGAGAAGCUCAGGAGAUGGGGAAGGCGGAGGUGCACAGGCCCUGACAGGAUAGAGGGAGCCGCGGAAGGGAGGCCGGCCUGGUGGAACCUUGAGGGAAGGCAAUGAUCCUGCAUCCCUCCAGGGGGCGCUGGAGAGCCAUAGAGUUCUUUUUGUUAACAGCUUCAUUGAGACCUGAUUCAUACAUAAAAUUCACCCAUUUAAAGCGUACAGUUCAAUGGCUUUUAGUGUAUUUAUAGGGUUGUGCACCUGUCACCACAAUCAAUUCUAGAAUAUUUUCAACAUCCCCAAAAGAAACUCUGAACCUCCUAACAGUGAUCGCCGGCCCCCAGUCCUCGGCAACCACUAAUCCCCUUUCUGUCUCCAUGGGUUUGCCUAUUCUGGACAUUUCACGUAAGUGGAAUCACGCUACACUGCCCUUUGUGACUGGCUUCUUUCAGUAGCAUGUCUUCCAGCUGCAGCACUGCUGUAGUGUCUGUCAGUCAUUCCAUUUUUUUGUGUGUAUUUUUUGUUUUGUUUCUUUUUUAGAGACAGGGUCUCGCUCCGUUGCCCAGGCUGAGUGCAGUGGUGUGAUCUCGGCUCACUGCAACCUGGAUCACCCAGGCUCAAGCGAUCUUCCCACCUCAGCCUCUCAAAUAGCUAGGACUACAGGCAUAUACCACCACGCCCAGCUAUUUUUUGUAUCUUUUGUAGAGAUGGGGUCUCACUAUGUUGUCCAGGCUGGUCUCGAUCUCCUGGGCUUAAGCCUCAGCCUCCCAAAGAGCUAGGAUUAAAGGCGUGAGUCACCACGCCCAGCCUGUCAUUCCUUUUCAUUGCUGAAUGAUAUUUCAUUGUCCUGGAAGAACUCUGAGCAGAGAAGGGACAGAGUCGGGCUAGCGCUUUAUCCCUCCAGUGGAUUAGACGGGGUAGGAUGGGUUGAAUUGUGUCCCGCCAGAGGGUAUGCUAAUUCCUCUUCCCAGCGCCUGUGCAUGUGACCUUAUUUGGAAAAAGGGUCUUUUCAGAUGAGGUCAUAGGGUGGGCUCUGGUCCAAUAUGACACAUGCCCUUCUAUAAAAGGGGACUGCCGGCAGUGUGACAGAAGCUAGAGAGAGGCAGGGAAGACUCCUGGCAGGUUCCCGAGGGAGCUCAGCCCAGCCAACACCUUGACUUCCAAUUUCUGGCCCCCAAGAAUGUGAGAGAUCUGUUGUUUCAAGUCAUCCAGUCUGUGGGGUUUUGGUACACAGGGAGGCAGAGUGGAGGCGAGAGGGUGGCGAGGAGGGGAGGAGCACAGGGAGGGAGGGGCUCAUCCAGGGACUGCAGGAAGGUGCAUAAAGGAUAUUGGGGCCCAGCAUGGUGGCUCAUGCCUGUAAUCCCAGUACUUUGGGAGGCCGAGGUGGGAGGAUCACUUGAGGUCAGGAGUUCGAGACCAGCCUGGCCAACAUGGUGAAUCCCUGUCUCUACUAAAAAUACAAAAAUUAGCCAGGCGUGGUGGCGGGCAUUUAUAAUCCCAGCUACUCAGGAGGCUGAGGCAGGACAAUCAUUUGAACCCAGGAGGCAGAGCCUGCAGUGAGCUGAGAUGGUGCCACUGCACUCCAGCCUGCAUGACAGAGCAAGACUCCAUCUAAAAAAAAAAAAGAGAGAAAGGAUAUUGGGAAACAGAGCCAGGCAUUUUGGAGAUGAGGGUGUCACCAAAAUGAGCAUGUGUCACCUUCCAGGGAUGGUCAGUGUGUGGCUGCUACAGCAACUGGCAGGGGGUAAACAGCAAAACAUGGCUGGGUGCAGUGGCUCACCCUAGUCUACUGAUUUUCAGUAAAGGUAUUAAAUUAAUUCAAUGGGGAAAUGAAUACUUUUUUCAAAAAAUGGUUCUGGAACCAUUAGACAUCCAUAUGCAGAAAAAUGAGCCAUGAGCGUUAACUCACAUCAUACACAAUGCCUAACUGGAAAUGGACCACAGACCUAACGGUUUAUAUUAAAAAUCUAAAACUAUUAAACUAGAAGAAAACAUAAGAAAAAACUUCAUGAUCUUGAGGGUAGGCAAAGAUUUGUUAGGUAGAACAGAAAAAGUAGAAAUGACAAAAGAAAAUGAUAAUUUGAAAUUCCAUCAAAAUACAAAACUUCUCUUGUCCAGGAGCAGCAACUCACACCUGUAAUCCCAGCACUUUGGAAGGCCAACGUGGGAGGAUUGCUUAAGCCCAGUUCGAGACCAGCCUGGGCAACAUGGCCAGAUGCCAUCUCUACAAAAAAUACAAAAAUUAGUUGGGUGUGGUGGCACCUGCCUGUAGUCCCAGCUACUCAGGAGGCUGAACUGGGAGAAUCACCUGAGCCCAAGGAGGCUGAGGCUGCAGUGAGCUGUGAUUAUGCCACUGCACUCCAGCCUGGGCAACACAGUGAGACCCUAUCUCAAAACAACAACAACAACAACAACUUCUGCUCCGCAAAAGACACUGUUAAGAAAAUGAUAAACGUGGGUCAGGUGCAGUAGUUCAUGCCUGUAAUCCCAGCACUUUGGGAUGCCAAGGUGAGAGGAUCACUUGAGCCCCAGGAAGUCAAGACCAGGCUGGGCAAUAUGGCAAAACCUCAUCUCUACAAAAAAAAACAAAAAUUAGCCAGGUGUGGUAGCAUGUGCGUCUAGUCCCAGCUACUCAGGAGGCUGAGGUGAGAGGAUCACCUGAGCCCGGGCAGGUCGAGGCUGCAGUGAGCCAUGAUCACACCACUGCAUUCCAGCCUGGGCAACACAGUGAGACCCUGUCUCAAAAAAACAAAUUCUGCUCUGCAAAAGAUACUGUUAAGAAAAUGAUAAAGAUGGGUCAGGCGCACUGUUUCACACCUGUAAUCCCAGCAUUUUGGGAGGCUGAGGCGGAAGGAUCACUUGAGGCCAGGAGUUUGAGACCAGCCUGGGUAACACAGCAAGACCCUGCCUGUCUCUACAAAAAAUAGAAAUAAUGAAAUGAAAAGGCAAGUAUAGACUUGGAGAAAAUAUUUACAAUAUGCAUAUCUAACAAACGACUUGUUUCAGGAAUAUGUAAACAACUCUUUUUUUUUUUCUUUUUUUUUUUUGAGAUGGAGUCUAGAUCUGUCAUCAAUGCUGGAGUGCAGUAGUGCAAUCUUGGCUCACUGCAACCUCCACCUCCUGGGUUCAAGCGAUUCUCCUGCCUCAGCCUCCCAAGUAGCUGGGAUUACAGGUGCCCGCCACCACACCUGGCUAAUUUUUGAAUUUUUCAUAGAGACAAGGUUUCACCGUGUUGGCCAGGCUGAUCUCAAACUCCUGACCUCGUGAUCCGCCCGCCUCAGCCUCCUAAAGUGCUGGGAUUACAGGUGUGAGCUACUGCACCUGGCCUGGAAAACAAUUUCUUUUUUUUUUUGAGGCGGAGUUUUGCUCUUGUUGCCCAGGCUGGAGUGCAAUGGCGCAAUCUCAGCUCACCGCAACCUCAGCUCACCACAACCUCCGCCUCCCGGGUUCAAGCAAUUCUCCUGCCUCAGCCUCUGGAGUAGCUGGGAUUACAGGCAUGCGCCACCAUGCCUGGCUAAAUUUUGUAUUUUUAGUAGAGACGGGUUUUCUUUUUUUUUUUUUUUUUCUUUUUUGAGACGGAGUCUUGCUCUGUCAACCAGGCUGGAGUGCAG